rnacentral:rRNA from 1 species
AGUGAACGCUGGCGGUAGGCCUAACACAUGCAAGUCGAACGGCAGCACAGAGGAGCUUGCUCCUUGGGUGGCGAGUGGCGGACGGGUGAGGAAUACAUCGGAAUCUACUCAGUCGUGGGGGAUAACGUAGGGAAACUUACGCUAAUACCGCAUACGACCUACGGGUGAAAGCAGGGGAUCUUCGGACCUUGCGCGAUUGAAUGAGCCGAUGUCGGAUUAGCUAGUUGGCGGGGUAAAGGCCCACCAAGGCGACGAUCCGUAGCUGGUCUGAGAGGAUGAUCAGCCACACUGGAACUGAGACACGGUCCAGACUCCUACGGGAGGCAGCAGUGGGGAAUAUUGGACAAUGGGCGCAAGCCCGAUCCAGCCAUACCGCGUGGGUGAAGAAGGCCUUCGGGUUGUAAAGCCCUUUUGUUGGGAAAGAAAUCCAGCUGGUUAAUACCCGGUUGGGAUGACGGUACCCAAAGAAUAAGCACCGGCUAACUUCGUGCCAGCCGCCGCGGUAAGAC